ACUCACAUGUCAGUUAAAAGCCAUUAUUCAAUGACAUACAUAUCCUUAGUUUAUAUGAGUUAUGGACAUUUUGUAAAUUUUUGGGGUCUGGAACAAACUAUAGAAGUAUGUUUAUACCUUGAGUGUUGAUAAAAACUCUUUUGUGGACGUAAACAGAUGCGAUUGUCAUUGGAAGUUAUAAUAAAUGAUGUGGAGACCAGUUCCUGUUGUAUAUGCGUUCUGCAUUCUAAUGGUGCCUUCUACAGCUAGUGAUACAUGCAAAAACGCUACUGGCAGAUUGUGUGACGUCAAAGAUGGCUCAUGUAACCAAGGCUGUACCGACAACUACUACCGACAAUUCUGUAAUAGGAAGUGCCCAGAUACAUGCAAAAACGCUACUGGCAGAUUGUGUGACGUCUUUAAUGGCUCGUGCUUCAACGGAUGUGACGAUAGCUUUUAUGGUACUGAUUGCAAUAUGACGUGCCCGGAAACAUGCAAAAAGGCGAUUGACAGAUUGUGUGACGUCAUAGUUGGCUCAUAUAACGAAGGCUGUGUCGACAACUACUACGGACAAUUCUGUAAUAUGGCGUGCCCAGAUACAUGCAAAAAUGCUACUGACAGAUUGUGUGACGUCAUAGAUGGCUCAUGUUACGAAGGCUGUGUCGACAUCUACUACGGACAAUUCUGUAAUAUGACGUGCCCAGAUACAUGCAAAAAUGCUACUGGAAGAUUGUGUGACGUCUUCAAUGGCUCGUGCUCCAACGGAUGUGACGAUAGCUUUUAUGGUACUGAUUGCAAUAUGACGUGUCCGGAAACAUGCAACAAGGCGAUUGACAGAGUGUGUGACGUCAUAGAUGGCUCAUGUAACAAAGGCUGUGCUGACAACUACUACGGACAAUUCUGUAAUGUGACGUGUCCAGAUACGUGCAAAAACGCUACUGGCAGAUUGUGUGACGUCAUAGGUGGCUCGUUUUCCAACGGAUGUGUCGACAACUACUACGGACAAGUCUGUAAUAUGACUUGCUCAGAUACAUGUAAAAACGCUAUUGGCAGAUUGUGUGACGUCAUAGUUGGCUCAUAUAACGAAGGCUGUGUCGACAACUACUACGGAAAAUUCUGUAAUAUGACGUGCCCAGAUACAUGCAAAAACGCUACUGGCAGAAUGUGUGACGUCAUAGAUGGCUCGUGUUUGAAUGGAUGUGCUGACAACUACUACGGACAAUUCUGUAAUAUGACAUGCCCAGAUACAUGCAAAAACGCUACUGGCAGAUUGUGUGACGUCAUAGAUGGCUCGUGUUUGAACGGAUGUGUCGACAACUACUACGGACAAUGCUGUAAUAUGACGUGCCCAGAUACAUGUAAAAACGCUACUGGCAGUGUGUGUGACGUCAUGGAUGGCUCGUGUUUGAACGGAUGUGGCGAUAGCUAUUAUGGGACUGAGUGCAAUAUGAUGUGCCCGAAUACAUGCUACAAUACGACAGAAAGAGUGUGUGACGUCUUCAAUGGCUCUUGUUCUCAAGGCUGUGUUCACAGUUAUUUUGGCUCUCACUGCGAUAUGAUGUGCCCGAACACUUGCAGCAAUAUCGCGGAUAUGCCGUCGUGUCACUCUGAAAGUGGAACGUGCCUGGCGGGAUGUCUCAAGGGAUUUUAUGGACAAAAAUGUUCAUAUAUGUGCCAACACUGUGUGAAUAAUACAUGUCAACAAGAGGACGGGGUCUGUGUUCACGGAUGCACUGACGGGUACAGUCAAGACGUAGAUGCUUUAAAGUGCCUAAAUGGUAAUUUAUUUAUAUGUUAUUGGUUUAAUAUGUCUAGGUUAAACACGCCAUGUACUAUGUCAGUUUUCUAUAGAAAUGGAAAAUACCCCUCAAUAUUCCUUAAUACCCUUUAUGGCUGAAACAACGGAGCAAAAUACCCUUUAACAAUAACACCAGGGGGUACAAUACCCUUUAGACUAAAUCCUUAUCUGGAGCUCUGCCAGCACACCUCUAUCUCAUUCGAUGAAAGACCCAUCUCCAACUAGAAUUUCGCUGAUGAAAUUGACCCCAUGGGUGGCACCAGCAGUGAACUUGACGAUCUUACCAACAAACUCUAUGAACGAACAGGAGCAUACGUGAUAGAGGUAAGCACUUAGAAGUCGAAGAUCAUGGUGAUCAGCACGACCGACACUAGUGCAGAUAUCACCAUUUGCGGCGAGAAGCUAGAAGAAAGAAGUGACCAGCUUCAAGUACUUGGGCGCAACCCUGUCCGAGGAUGGAACCAGUACCGCUGAGGUGCAAAUAAGAACUGUCAUGGCGACCGCAGCGAUGGCCAGACUAAGCCGGGUGUGAACAAGCAGUUCCCUCAGCUUCCCCACCAAUAACAGGCUCUACAAGUCCCUCGUAGUCUCAAUCCUACUCUACGGCUGCGAGACUUUGAUGCUUAACGCGGAGAAGAAACGCAAGAACAGGCAUUUGAACAUAAAUGUCUCCGAAGACUGUUCCGCAUCUCCUACAAAGCGCACAAGACCAACGUGUACGUCCGGACAUGACCGCAACACUUGCUGGUCCACUAGAGCCCCUACAUGUGACCGUCAAAGGACGAAAGCUGACUUGGUUUGGACACGUCACCAGGCACGACUUUCUGUGCAAAAUUGUUCUCCUUUGCACGCUAGAUGGAGGUCGACGAUGAGGCCGUCAUAAGAAAAGGUGGAUUGACAUAAAAGACUAGACAUCCCUACCUUUGAAUGAAUAACUCUCAGCAGCACACAACCGACCUGACUGUAGGAGGAUUUCUGUAUCUUUGUCCCUCAAUGAUGAUGAUGAUGAUGAUGAUAAUGAUGAUUAUGAUGAUGAUGAUGAUGAGUAAUGAAAAAAUACAUUUCUUAAACAUAAACUGUCGACUACAGCCUGAUAUUUAUUUAACACGAAUACAUUCGUUUUGUAUACAAUCAAUAACAACAUAAGUACGGAGUUCCGUUGUUAUUGUAUAUAUUAAAAUGUAGCAGGUCUUGUACUGGUCAAUUAUUUCAGCAUUCAACAAUCGUAUAUGUCAGUCUAUUAUGCACGCCCCCGAUAUGAACAUCCUACACAUUUACCAAUGAAAUUGCUUGUAACAGCUCGUCUUUAAUUUGCUGGAUUUAAUGGUUGGAUAAUUAAACCGUUGAAGUUAAAACUGAUGAACGUUUAUAGUGUCUGAACAUGGUAUUACUUUAGUUUAUGUACAAUAGGCUCAACAAACUCCAAUGAUGAGAGAGCGGCGAAAAGUAAUCAUUUCCUGAUACCCAUAUCUACCGUUUUUGGAAUAAUUAGCGGUUCAGUUUUAGUUAUUGUAGUAUUGGUUGCUGUCGCAGCAUUCAUCGUCCAUCGAAACAAAAGGUGGGUGGAACCAAUUGAUGAUUUAAAAAGUUGUUUUGAUUUAUUUACAUGACAUAUUUUCUACAUUUAUUAAGGCACAGCAUAAAAGUUUUAUGUAAAAAUAAAACAACAUAAUUUGUAAUCGAAGGCAUUGAUUCUAUCGAACGUUUUAUUAUUUAAAAUUUGUAUCACUCUUAUUUUAUUUAAAACAUUAUAAUAAAUAUAAUGUUUUUUUGUAAAUAUUGUGGAAUAUAAGUGGUAUAUACCGCAUGACUCUGUAUAAUGGUCAGGUAUGGUUGUAAACACUCCGAAAUACAUUCGAAUGUAUAAAGAACCGAAAGGAAUAUUAAAUGGACUUUCAGGAGACAUUCGUUGAAAAUCAGAAGAAAUGCUUUAAGAAGGUCAGAAUUCUUCGAAGAAGUUCAACUGGCGGUAGUGACCAACUCGAACUUCGUGAAGUGUGAGGAAUCAGGUUCCGACAUUUACAAAACCAUGACUGGUUCAGAUGAAGAGCCAUCGGUCGAGUGUCCACACAUAUGUAGGAAUGUAAUGGGAUGGGCCAUUUGCAAAACUGUGUUUGGAAGAAAACGAAAACGAUACAAUAUAAGAAAACGUUCGGUUGAAGAUUGAACUAUGACAGCGAUAGAUCCCGCAUUGAAACACGUGCUAUUGAUCAAUCAGAGGUUGGAAAUUGUUUUACAAUAAACAAAAUUGAGGCAACAAUUUAAACUAUGAUCAAAGAAUCUCUCCGUGUUUUCAAAGUUAAAAUAAGUGGUACGUUUAUUCGAAUGUGUUUAUUUACUGUUUUGUAAGUGUAGAUUGUAUCAUGGAAUAUAGGGAUAAUAUAAGUUUUCGAGGGCAUGAUUGUCUGCCGGCGCUCGAAAAUUCCGUUCCUGCCCGAGUGCGCCCGCAAAUGAUCAUGUCCGAGAAAAUGUAUAUUUUCGCUAUUAUUGCAUAAAAAAAUCACACAAACUAAA